rfam:Clostridiales bacterium Nov_37_41 Ley3_66761_scaffold_10777, whole genome shotgun sequence.
CGAAAUUCGUUGAAGAGAACAACGCUGUUUUUGAAUCAAGUGUUUCAGAGAGUCUGCGGUUGGUGUGAGCAGAUACAUUUUCAUGAACAGAUAUCAUCUCUAAGAUGCGGACUGAACAUUACUUGACAUUAAUAUUUUGAACCAGUAAGUCUCGCCGGAAUCCUCCGUUAUAAGGAAAGCGUAUGAUAGUACGUUAAGAGCUGUAAUUUUAUUGCAGAAAUUGGGUGGUAACGCGGAUUAGUUCGUCCCUUUU